AGAGUUUGAUCCUGGCUCAGGACGAACGCUGGCGGUGCGCCUUAUGCAUGCAAGUCGAGCGAAGCUUUUCAGUAGUUUACUACAGAAAAUGACUGAGCGGCGAACGGGUGAGUAACGCGUGAGCAAUCUACCUUAGUUACAGGGAUAGCCCGAGGAAACUCGGAUUAAUACCUGAUAUUCUUUAAAUUUCGCAUGAAAUUAAAAGGAAAGGUCAGCCGAACUAAGAUGAGCUCGCGUUCUAUCAGCUAGUUGGUGAGGUAAAAGCUCACCAAGGCUACGACGGAUAGCUGGUCUGAGAGGACGAUCAGCCACACUGGGACUGAGACACGGCCCAGACUCCUACGGGAGGCUGCAGCAGGGAAUAUUGCGCAAUGAGCGAAAGCUUGACGCAGCGACACCGCGUGUGGGAUGACGGAUCUAGGUUUGUAAACCACCUUCAGGAGGGAAGAAAAUGACGGUACCUCCACAAGAAGCCCCGGCCAACUACGUGCCAGCAGCCGCGGUAAUACGUAGGGGGCGAGCGUUGUCCGGAUUUAUUGGGCGUAAAGAGCUCGUAGGCGGUUCAACAAGUCGGUCGUGAAAGUUCAGGGCUCAACCCUGAAAUGUCGAUCGAUACUGUUGUGACUAGGAUACGGUAGAGGUGAGUGGAAUUCCGAGUGUAGCGGUGAAAUGCGUAGAUAUUCGGAGGAACACCAAUUGCGAAGGCAGCUCACUGGGCCGCUAUCGACGCUGAGGAGCGAAAGCUAGGGGAGCAAACAGGAUUAGAUACCCUGGUAGUCCUAGCUGUAAACGAUGGAUACUAGACGUAGAACUGGAUUGACGGUUUCUGUGUCGCAGCUAACGCGUUAAGUAUCCCGCCUGGGGAGUACGGUCGCAAGACUAAAACUCAAAGGAAUUGACGG
rnacentral:rRNA from 1 species